AAUUAAUUGUUGGCCGGUAUGAAUGGCGUCACGAAGGCCCCACUGUCUUAAGAGGACUCUCCAUGAAAUUGAAUUCGUAGUGAAGAUGCUACGUCCAUAUUGUAAGACGAAAAGACCCCAUUGAGCUUUACUAAAGACUUGCAUGGCUCAAAAUAAUUURAUUUAAAUAAAGAGUUUAGAUAAUGUGGGAUCCGUUUCCGGUUAAUGAAACACCACUCUUUUAUUUUAAGAGAGCUAACAUURCAGGGAUAAUGUAAGUUGGAUAGUUUGGUUGGGGCGACCACCUUUUAAAAGGUAACGAAGGUGAGCUUAAGGUCCGUAGUUAAUAGCCGGUGGCCUGACUGCAAGGGGGACGUCUCGAGCAGACACGUCCUUAGGGAUGUGGACUAUAGUGACCCGUCAUCUUAGUGUGGAAUA
rnacentral:rRNA from 1 species